UCAAUGCAGGACGUGGGAGUGGGGAGGGACGCACACUCUGUAAACAGGAAUAGGUGCAACUCCGAUCACUGAGCUGGCAAGCUUAAGGUAGCUAGUUAGUCACAUAAAUGUACGUUCAGACUGUUAAUUAUUUCAGUCAGAUUUUACGAAGUCAGCAUGGCUUAACAUAGUUGCUUUCGUUUUUGACCUCGACAUUUUUGCUGGAUAGAUACUGUCAUAGCUAACAUGCUGGCGCUGCUAGCUAGCUAAUGCCGCUCAUAUCUGGAUGCAUCACUAUUUCCGGAGAGAGCAGCAUACUGGCCCUCCAUUCCCAACCCUGAAGCCCCCUGUCCCCAGCAGGAAAGACCAGGAAAAUGUGUUGGCUUAACUUCCUAUUGAGGAAAUGAGCCUGUCUGUUACGCAAAUGCAGUAAGAAGCCAAGAUCUGCCAACCUGCUCGGUGGGUGACAGUUAACUGUCUUUCCACCAAGCUGUUCACUUCCUGGAGUGGCACACUGGAACUUCCAGAGGCUUGUAGACCUGAAGCAGUGUGAUGUGGUCCAGACACCACCAAAACAACCACUAUGUGGAUUUGACAGCUCUAACCUUUCCCCCUCAGACACCACCAAAACAACCACUAUGUGGAUUUGACAGCUCUAACAGUUCCCCCUCAGACACCACUCAAACUCAACCACAGUCGUCACAGCUGUAGUCGUCUGCCCCUGCAUCUGCUACCCCGGCCACGACAGGUGAUACAGAUCUGCCACCCCCCAGUUCAGCUGCAGUCACAGCAGUCCUCUGCUGUGCUAUUUAAUUUACCAGCUGCACCAGUUCCUACUACACUGGCCUUGAAGGGAGAAACUUUUGAGGAUUCCUAGAUGGAUGCAGACAGACAGCCUCACCCAGAAGUGCAUACACUGGGUCUAUCAAGACUGACAAGCAGAGAUGGGUGGCUGACAAAGAAAAAUAAAACAUGCCCUCACACACAUUAUCCACGUUGUAAAUAUGUUGUAAUUGCUUGUUUAUUUAAUCUUUGCUCCAUUUUAUUUUAGGAUUGGAGAUAUCUACUCCUACAUGUCCAUUCUCAAUAUCUACAUAAUUACACUAAAUAUCUAUCAAAUCAGUGUAAUUGACAAGAUUGUGAAAGACUGUGGCUUAAUGUAUACAGUUAGAGGAAAUUCUGUGUGCUUUUUUCUGAAUUGAAAAACAUGUCUCUCACACACACACACAUUGUCUAAUUUAAAUAAAUUGCAAUAACUUGUUUAUUUUAUGUAUGCUCCAUUUUAUUUGACGAAAAUAUCUGCAAUAAAGUACAUUCACAGUUAAAGCAAUGUCUUUGGUUUAU